rnacentral:rRNA from 1 species
AACGAACGCUGGCGGCAUGCCUAACACAUGCAAGUCGAACGAGAUCUUCGGGUCUAGUGGCGCACGGGUGCGUAACGCGUGGGAAUCUGCCCUUUGGUUCGGAAUAACAGUUGGAAACGACUGCUAAUACCGGAUGAUGACGAAAGUCCAAAGAUUUAUCGCCAGAGGAUGAGCCCGCGUAGGAUUAGCUAGUUGGUGUGGUAAAGGCGCACCAAGGCGACGAUCCUUAGCUGGUCUGAGAGGAUGAUCAGCCACACUGGGACUGAGACACGGCCUAUACACCUACGGGUGGCAGCAACUGGGAAUCGUGCGCAAUGGACGAAAGUCUGACGCUGCGACGCCGCGUGAACGAUGAAGGCCUUAGGGUCGUAAAGUUCUUUUGCCAAAGGAGUGAUCCUUUGGAGAAUAAGCACCGGCUAACUCUGUGCCAGCCGCCGCCGUAA